rnacentral:rRNA from 1 species
AUACGUAGGGGGCGAGCGUUGUCCGGAAUUACUGGGCGUAAAGGGUGCGUAGGCGGCCAAUUAAGUCAGAUGUGAAAUACCAGGGCUCAACCCUGGGGGUGCAUAUGAAACUGGUUGGCUUGAGUGCAGGAGAGGAAAGUGGAAUUCCUAGUGUAGCGGUGAAAUGCGUAGAGAUUAGGAGGAACACCAGUGGCGAAGGCGACUUUCUGGACUGUAACUGACGCUGAGGCACGAAAGCGUGGGUAGCGAACAGGAUUAGAUACCCUGGUAGUCCACGCCGUAAACGAUGGAUACUAGGUGUAGGGGGUAUCGACCCCCCCUGUGCCGGAGUUAACGCAAUAAGUAUCCCGCCUGGGGAGUACGGCCGCAAGGCUGAA